UACGGAGGACCCGAGCGUUAUCCGGAUUCAUUGGGUUUAAAGGGUGCGUAGGCGGUAUAGUAAGUCAGUGGUGAAAUCCUGCAGCUUAACUGCAGAACUGCCAUUGAUACUGCUAAACUUGAGUACAACUGAUGUGGGCGGAAUAUGACAUGUAGCGGUGAAAUGCUUAGAUAUGUCAUAGAACACCGAUUGCGAAGGCAGCUCACAAAAUUGUUACUGACGCUGAGGCACGAAAGCAUGGGGAUCGAACAGG
rnacentral:rRNA from 1 species